UCUGCUGCCCCAUCUUAUUCAUUCUGUGAUGACCCAGGAUGGUUAGUGUCUAUUUGUGAAAAUUUAAAUUCGGUUUAUUACAGAUGAUUUAUCUGUGUUCAUUGUUUUUGAAAAAAGAAUAUGUGGCCUUGUUACAUUUAAUCACAACAAUCCAAUCAAUUACAAAUGAACAAAACCAGGUCCUGCUAUACAUUUUAUUUCGUUUGAGAAUCCAUUUCAAUAAAGGUUUUUAUAAAAUUAUAUAAUAAAAUGAAAAUGGAAAGAAUAGAAAAAGAAUAGAGCAAGCUAGUGUUAAAGGCCUUUUUUGCUUUUGUUAACUGUAUAAUAAAUAAAAAGAAAACAGAUAGAAUACAAAAGGAUUUGAAAAGAUACUGGUAGGUGUUUGUCAUGUACUGUGUUCCAGGUCUAAGUUUAAAUGUCACUUCUCUAAACAUUGAAAAUAGUUGUAAUCAACAAAAAAUUUCUAAUCUGACUCUUAUGUAACUCUUUAAUGCUGAAAUCAUUCAUGCCUAAUAACACAGUGGUAAUCGUGGUAAAAUUGCUGUUAUCACAUGGUUAAUUGCUUUAUUUAUUGUGUGCAUGUAGAUGAGCAGCAGGAUGAAAGUUUGUCAGACAGUGCUGGUCCAUUACACUCCGUGUUUCAGGACCUUCAACUCUCCAGCAACUUGGAGAACACUGCAGCCAAGCUACUUCUUUAGGAGUAUGUUUCCUGCAGCAUUGAGCUUCCCUCAGAUAGGAUUUCAGCUCUUAAUCAGAAAAUUCAAUCUACUGUACGCCAGUUUGAAUCCAGGUAUCCCUGUGCACUGGAUGUAGCAUUGAAAAAUCAUCUCAAAAAUGUGUCGUCUGACCAUGAAAAAAACAUGCUUCAUCAGUUCAUCUCUCUAACUA